AAAUAAAAUUUAUUUUUUUCUCAUAUAAGCUGCUAAUAAGGUGCAGUGUAUCUACGAUUAACCUAAAAUUAAUCUCUAUGAGUGAAAGCGGUUCAGCA
rnacentral:ncRNA from 2 species